rnacentral:sRNA from 1 species
CUCCGCCACCGGCCCUCUUUUGCCUGUGUCUAACUUGGGGGUACGUGCUCUGGGCCAGAUGCUGUGUUAGAAGUUUAUGUUAUGGGUAUCUCCAUUCUACAGAUGGGAAAACUGAGGCACUGAGGGGUUAAAUUACUUGCUUCAUUACCUAGCUAGUCAAUGGUAGAGCCAAGACUCAAAAUUGAGUCCAAGUGGCUCCUUAACUAGAGUCCAUUCUACUGCCUCAGAGAACUCAUGUGGUUUCAAGGAACAGGCAUGCCUGCCAAGGAGCCCAGCUCAUUAUGGUGGCCAAGUCAGAGCAAGGCAGAGUGGCAGCUGCAGGAGAAGUGUGAUGGGGAGAUGGUAUCUGAACGCUCCAGGUUUAGGCUCCUUUCUUCUCCCUGGAGGCAGUUAAGACUCUCCCUAUUAUCUCUCAUUGCACACAACAAUUCCAAGAGCUUUUCCCAAGACUACCUGGCCCAGGCUUCUGGCUUCCCCUGAGAGCCUUGAGGGAGCAGCAGAGGAAAACUGAGGCCCCCAGAGGAGAAUGGAAGGAGUCAGCCUGUGCGCCAUGCCUCGCAGGAGCUGUCUCAGAUGCAGACUCACAUCAGUGACACCAACGUCAUCCUGUCCAUGGACAAUAACCGCUCCCUGGACCUGGACAGCAUCAUCGAUGCAGUGCGGACCCAGUACGAACUGACUGCACAGAGGAGCAAGGACGAGGCCGAAGCCCUGUACCAGACCAAGUACCAGGAGCUCCAGAUCACAGCAGGGAGACAUGGAGAUGACCUGAAGAACAG